rnacentral:rRNA from 1 species
GACAGAGGGGGCAAGCGUUGCUCGGAAUCACUGGGCGUAAAGGGCGUGUAGGCGGGAUGGCAAGUCGGUCGUGAAAUCCUUCGGCUCAACCGAAGAACGUCGGCCGAUACUGCCGUUCUUGAGGGAUGGCAGAGGAGAGUGGAAUUCCCGGUGAUAGCGGUGAAAUGACGCAGAUAUCGGGGAAGAACACCCGUGGCGAAGGCGGGCUCUCUGGGACCGGUA